rnacentral:tRNA from 1 species
CAGUUGGUAGAGCGCUCCACUUGUAAUGGAGAGGUCCCGGGUUCGAUACCCGGACCAGGCG